rnacentral:rRNA from 1 species
UACGGGGGGGGCAAGCGUUGUUCGGAAUUACUGGGCGUAAAGCGCACGUAGGCGGAUACUUAAGUCAGGGGUGAAGUCCCGGGGCUCAACCCCGGAACUGCCUUUGAUACUGGGUAUCUCGAGUCCGGAAGAGGUGAGUGGAAUUCCGAGUGUAGAGGUGAAAUUCGUAGAUAUUCGGAGGAACACCAGUGGCGAAGGCGGCUCACUGGUCCGGUACUGACGCUGAGGUGCGAAAGCGUGGGGAGCAAACAGG